rnacentral:lncRNA from 1 species
UUUUUUUUUUUUAGUAUAUAGAGAAUGUAUACACAAGCAAAAUUUGGUAGUCGAAUUUAAAUUGAAAGAAUGUGGUCUAGUCUAAGAUUCAUCAAUAUAGGAAAGAUUAAAUUUUAGAAAGAAAAGUGAAGAAAAAAUUUUUUUUUUUGCAAGAAGUUUCUUGAAGAAUAGUGCCCGAUUGUUCCUUCCCGAAUGAAGGGAAAAAAAAAUGGAAAACUCACGUCUUUUGUAAUAAGUUGGUGCUUGUACUUCAUUGAUUAUGGAUUAUCAGUAACAAUUAUUUUUAAUGGUGUAACAUUUUUUGAAUAGAGUAUAAUUCUACGUGAAUUAGUUAUAAAAUUUCACAAUAAAGAUGCAAUUAUUAUGUAUGGAUUCACAUGAAUAGUAAUAAAAUAUUAAACUUUUAUUGUAAGAAUGAGCAGCUGACUUCUUUGAAUCAGUUGAAUCCCCUAUAAAAUUCAUAGUUCAUUUAUUUAGAAUUAAAAAUGUUAAAAAAUAUAUUACAUGGUCCAGGGAUGGUUGUCCUGCGUCCGUUAACUAGAGGAGGGCAUAUUUGAAGUAUAAUUUUAUAUAAAUUAUCUGUAAAAUUUUACAAUGAAGACAUAAUUAUUACGUAUGAGAUCCACAUGAAUAGUAAUAGGACAUUAAACUUCUAUUGUAAGAAUGAACAGCUGGUUUCUGUUAAAAAUAUAUUACAUGGUUUCAGGGGUGGCUGUCCCGUGCCGGUUAACUAGAUGAGGGCAUGACUGGAACUGUCAGACAGCAAGGUUUGAUGCUUCCAUAUCAGGAAAUUCUAACUUAAGAAUUGGGGAACCUAAAAGGUUCACUGCUUUUGGCCAUUGCAAGGUUUUUGCACCGACACACACUAGGCAAAAGAAGGUCAGUAUGUGUGUACAGCAAUAUGUUAUUUGUCUUUUUUAUGAGGUGUGGUUAGGAAUGUACGUGAGCCGAGCAACUUUUUAUGAGGUGUGGUUAGGGAUGUACGCGAGCCGAGCUACUCGCGAGUAGCUCGGUCAACGGCUUGGCUCGAACUCGGUCAAAUCGAGUUCGAGCCGAGUUUCGAGUAGCUCGAUUGGCGUUCGAGUCGAGUUUCGAGUCUCAAAUUUUUGGCUCGAGGCUUGUUGAGUAGCUUGUCGAGCCGAGCUAUUUAAAUAAUAUAUUUAUAAUUUAAAUCAUAUAUAUGUAUUAUAAUUAUAAAAUGACUAUUAUGGGUAUAGGUUAUACGGAAUUUACAAUAUACUCUUCUUUAUAAUAAAAUUUUAUAAGGGUAAAAAAGUAAUAACAUAAUUAUAAAAAUACCUAAAAAGAAAAAAUGUCUAAAAAAUGCCUCAGUUUUUUGGUCGAGUCGAGUCAAAAAACUUGAUUAGACUCGGCUUGAUAAGGCUUGACUAAGGGUCGAGCCUUAUCGAGUCGAGUUUCGAGCUUAGAGCGAGUACAUCGAGUCAAGUUUCGAGUAUCAAUUUUUUUGACUCGAUCGAGCUCGAGCCUAGGGAUAUAUGAGUCGAGUCGAGCUCGAGUAUAGCACUACUCGAAUCGAGUCUAAUGAUUUAAAAAAUCGAUUCAAUUUAUUUCUAUCCCUAGGUACCACACCUAGGGAUGGAAAUAAAUUGAAUCGAUUUUUUAAAUCAUUAGACUCGAUUCAUAUUUUUGUACUCGAAUUCGAAUCUUAUAUGAGUUCAAAAUUUAAGUUCAAGUUUGAUUCUAGAGUUCAAAAUCUUCUUUAACUUUUUACUUUUAAUAUUACGUUAUCAAUAUUACGUGUACAAUAUACAAUAGAAAUAUAACUUUGCACCAAAAUAUUAAUAAAAAUAUUAGAAAUUAUACGGGUCUCAUUGAGCCUAAACGAGGUAUAAGUUCGAAUUCGAUUCGACACCUUAAUUGAAUCUUAAUAUUUGUUCAAAGUCUAGCUCGAGUUGGUUAAAAAAUCGAACUUGAAUUGAGUUCAUUAAGGCCUCGGUUGGUUUAUCGCCCUGGUGCCAUAAAAGAAAAAAGGGAUGAAAUACAUGAAUUAUAACUCUUACUACAACAAACUGACUUUUGGGAGCGGUUUUUCAAUGCAUGUAACUCAAAGCUGCUGAUCAUAUGAGACAUCCGUGUGAAAUUCAGUACAACUCACAAAAGCUGAUGCCAAUACUAGUAUUCCACAUUCAUCCGGAUCUUCUUUUGCUGCUCAGCAAAUACUCAAAUGGAGGAUUCGAAAAUUUUCCUUCAAGUAAUAAUUCAGCAACAGCUUUAUACAUGCCUUCAGUGAGGUGAACACCAUCCCAGUUGAUGUACUGAGAAGGGUUGGAGCAGGAAGUAGCCAAGGGUGAACCACAAGUGUUAAACAGAUCAAAAUUGUACAAACCAGAUUUAGAUCCACAGCAGGCUUUGAAAAGUUCUUUGAUGCCGUAUUUCUCGGGAUUCUUUACCACUGAAGCAUAUGCAUUCCAGUAAUCUGCAUACACUAUCACAGCAUUUGGGAACUUUUUCCUGAAAUCAUUUAACUUGGCUUGAAGAAUGGUGUUGUGAGCAUAGCUUUGUUUGUUUGAACUUGCCACACAGCCUAAAGUGUCCCUAUCAUUCUCAGCAGCCAGAUACAUGGUUAGUGUUAGGCACCCUGUUGGUGGCAGCCCUUGAACAACAAGAUACUUCACUCCCUUGUUCAGAAUGGCCUGUGAAUUCAACACCAAAAAUGGUACACAUAAAGCUAAUGACAUCCAUUAUUUCUCCAUUUCAUUGUCCAUCCUACUCGCCAUAGCUAAGAAAAAGAUGCUUGCACGAGUUUCAGGAUAAGGAUCAAUUGAUGCAAAACAAAGGGUAUAACAAAAAGAUAACAAUUGAAACGUUCCUUUACAAAUCAAUAAACUACAUAUACCAUCCAUCAAAUAAUGAAAUAAUGUGUGCAUUAUUACCUCUAAGAAACGAGUCACACUACCAAUGGCUAGCUUCUGAAUUGUUGUGCCUGAGACAGAAGAUCCAAGAGUAUAUGCAUAAUCAUUUGCACCAAUUUCACCAAGCCAAAUCAAGGCAUUAUCAAAAACAGCUUUGCACUCUUUAGGUGUUGUUAUUGAAUUUUUACACCCUUUGGUUUCCAAAAAUUCGUUAAACCAAACAAGCUGAGUUUGAAGUGACUGAGGGGUACGGUUAAGUGUGAGAUUGUUCUUCACAAAGAAACUAUAGAUUAUUGCAGUAGAGCCAGCAACAGCAAAAUUAACACCAUGAGAUUUGUCUGCUGUUUUACUUAGAUAAGGUGGCAAGAAAGGCAAAGAAAGUUGUUGAGCUAAAAAGUCAAUCACCAACCUUCCAUCAGAGUAUCUGUUUGUGGGAUGGUGGAAGAAAGUUUGGCCAUAAGGAGAGCGUGACGCAUAGAGGUAUGCAUUUGGACCAGUGGUUGAGUUGGUGUUGCCAGUGU